AAAUUCGAAAUUUUUGCCGCGCCGAGCUCCGCCCCUUUUGGGAAUUUUUGCCGCG
rnacentral:tRNA from 1 species